rnacentral:lncRNA from 8 species
AAAGGUGACAGGGGUGAAGUGGGGCCCACAGGCAUGAAGGGAUUGCCAGGUCUUGAAGGGCCCAUGG